UACGUAGGGGGCAAGCGUUGUCCGGAUUUAUUGGGCGUAAAGAGCGUGUAGGCGGCCAUACAGGUCAGCUGUGAAAACUCGAGGCUCAACCUCGAGACGUCGGUUGAAACCGUAUGGCUAGAGUCCGGAAGAGGAGAGUGGAAUUCCCGGUGUAGCGGUGAAAUGCGCAGAUAUCGGGAAGAACACCCGUGGCGAAGGCGGUUCUCUGGGCAUGUCCUGACGCUGAGGAGCGAAAGUGUGGGGAGCGAACAGG
rnacentral:rRNA from 1 species